CCUACGGGAGGCAGCAGUGGGGAAUAUUGCACAAUGGGGGAAACCCUGAUGCAGCGACGCCGCGUGAAGGAUGAAGUAUUUCGGUAUGUAAACUUCUAUCAGCAGGGAAGAAAAUGCCUGUACCUGUCUAAGAAGCCCCGGCUAACUACGUGCCAGCAGCCGCGGUACUACGGAGGGGGCAAGCGUUAUCCGGAUUUACUGGGUGUAAAGGGAGCGUAGACGGUAUGGCAAGUCUGAUGGGAAAACCCGGGGCUCAACCCCGGGACUGCAUUGGAAACUGCCGAACGAGAGUGUCGGAGAGGCAAGUGGAAUUCCUAGUGGAGCGGUGAAAUGCGUAGAUAUUAGGAGGAACACCAGUGGCGAAGGCGGCUUGCUGGACGAUGACUGACGUUGAGGCUCGAAAGCGUGGGGAGCAAACAGGAUUAGAUACCCCUGUAGUC
rnacentral:rRNA from 1 species